CGUAGGUGAACCUGCGGAGGGAUCAUUACUGAGUUUACGCUCUACAACCCUUUGUGAACAUACCUACAACUGUUGCUUCGGCGGGUAGGGUCUCCGCGACCCUCCCGGCCUCCCGCCUCCGGGCGGGUCGGCGCCCGCCGGAGGAUAACCAAACUCUGAUUUAACGACGUUUCUUCUGAGUGGUACAAGCAAAUAAUCAAAACUUUUAACAACGGAUCUCUUGGUUCUGGCAUCGAUGAAGAACGCAGCGAAAUGCGAUAAGUAAUGUGAAUUGCAGAAUUCAGUGAAUCAUCGAAUCUUUGAACGCACAUUGCGCCCGCCAGCAUUCUCGCGGGCAUGCCUGUUCGAGCGUCAUUUCAACCCUCAAGCUCUGCUUGGUGUUGGGGCCCUACAGCCGAUGUAGGCCCUCAAAGGUAGUGGCGGACCCUCCCGGAGCCUCCUUUGCGUAGUAACUUUACGUCUCGCACUGGGAUCCGGAGGGACUCUUGCCGUAAAACCCCCCAGUUUUCCAAAGGUUGACCUCGGAUCAGGUAGGAAUACCCGCUGAACUUAAGCAUAUCA
rnacentral:rRNA from 1 species